CUCUGAUGAAUAGAACUUUACCUUAAGCCGUAAAGUAUAUGGUGGACCAACUGUAGAAAAUUGUAUUUGUUAAUCAAUGAAUAGCUUAGUUGGAUCCAACCAAUGUUGAACAUUGUUGCUAUCUGUAUAUUGCAAUCCAAAAUAAUCUUUUUCUAUUAAAUCUAAGCUAUAAAAAACUUGUUCAUACAAAUCACUAGCCAAUGCCUUUUUCUGCAACGUGAAAACAUUCCAAUAUAUAAGGAAAUUUGUACAAAUAGACAACUCUAUAGGCAGAUCUGUGCCAUCAAGCAAAACAACUCUGCAUUGGACAACAUUUUUAUUGCUGAGCAAACGUUGAUUUUUAAUUUGGG